rnacentral:rRNA from 1 species
CACGUAGGCACCAAGCGUUGUCCGGAUUUAUUGGGCGUAAAGGGCGCGCAGGCGGCUCGGCACGUCCGUUGUGAAAUCGCCCGGCUCAACUGGGCGGGGUCAGCGGAUACGGUGUGGCUCGAGCAAGCUAGGGGGCAAUGGAAUUCCCGGUGUAGUGGUGGAAUGCGUAGAUAUCGGGAGGAACACCAGUGGCGAAGGCGGUUGCCUGGAGCUUUGCUGACGCUGAGGCGCGAAAGCUAGGGGAGCAAACAGG